AUUGAACGCUGGCGGCAGGCCUAACACAUGCAAGUCGAACGAGUGGCGGACGGGUGAGUAAUGUCUGGGAAACUGCCUGAUGGAGGGGGAUAACUACUGGAAACGGUAGCUAAUACCGCAUACCAUCGGAUGUGCCCAGAUGGGAUUAGCUAGUAGGUGGGGUAAAGGCUCACCUAGGCGACGAUCCCUAGCUGGUCUGAGAGGAUGACAAGCCACUCGGUAACUGAGACACGGUCCAGAAUCCUACGGGAGGCAGAAUUGGGUAGUAUUGCACAAUGGGCGCAAGCCUGAUGCAGCAAUGCCACGUGUAUGAAGAAGGCCUUAGGGUUGUAAAGUACGUUCAGCUGUGAGGCGUUACCCGCAGAGUAAGCACCGGCUAACUCCGUGCCAGCAGCCGCGGUAAUAC
rnacentral:rRNA from 1 species